GGGGCAUAGCUCAGUGGUAGAGUGUGUGCUUGGCAUGCAUGAGGUCCUGGGCUUAAUCCCCGGUGUCUACA
rnacentral:tRNA from 1 species